ACACACACCUCUCAUAUGUCAGUGUUGCUCUUUGUCCAUUCGGAAUUUUGGGGAAAAUAGUAUAUGUAACCUUUAUUACCUUUAACCUUAUAUUCAGUAAGAAUAAAAAUGAAAACAGAUUUAUGAAUGCCUUUAUUUCUUGGAUGAGGGAUGCAAUGGAUGGACAUUAAAAACAGGGUUUUUUUCUGCAAUAGUUUUUGGAAAGGUUUGAGCCUCAAUGUAUCCCAGAUGCUUUCAGAUGUGACUAGUUUUUCCCAUGAUCCCCUCGACAUGUGUAGUCAUGAACCAAACGCAGGGAAUCUCGGGACAUUUAGAAUUUACUUUGUGUUCCUGGCUGCGACUUUUCAUUCUUGCAUUUGUGAAUUUCAAAUAAAAUACAUUUUGAGGUUAGGUUAAAUUAAAUAAAGGUAAAAAGGCAUUUGCAGAUGUUCUCAUCCAUUAAAAUAUAAGUUGGUUCACAGAGUCAUUAUCAGAUAGGAAUUGAGGAGUUGAGUAGAAGCAAAAGGUUAAUAACAGAGGCUGAUAUUAGGAAUGCUGGACAGAAAAUAUGUUACACUUAUAUGAUACACGUGCUUUAGUGACAAACCCAAUAUUCAUUAAAAUAAAAUUAAUUCCAAGACUCAUUGAAUGUUUUAUGUUUUUUUUAUUGAUCUCCACAAGCAAAACAUCAAAUUCAUUAUUGUAUUUUCAAACAUUAGGUAUAAAAUAGCUGGUUUCAAGGUAUUGGGUGUCUGUAGAGGUAUGUCAGCAAGCCUUGUGUUAUAAUAGGGUUACGUCAUUCUGUGCAGUGGGGAUAAGUAAUGCGUUAUUCUGCAGUGUGUCGCAAAUUUAGUUGACCACUGAAAAGGUUAAUGGUUGUAUUUUUGAGAAUAUCUGUAAACUCCGCCAAUAAGUGUCAUUGGAUUCUUGUAUCUAAUCUUUGUAAUUAUUCCAAAAUCAUCCAUAUCACAAUAAAUAUAUAUCCUGGAUUUUUUUACAAGCAAGAUUUAUUGAUGACUAGUAGGGUUGGUUGCCUUCCAGAAGAACAAUCAUAAGAGUUUGUAAAAUAUCGAGGAAUAAACACUGGUUAUACAUCUAAUGUCAAGUUUUAGCUUCUUAAUGUUCACCAGGGUAUUACAUGUCCUUGACGCACCCAGUAUUGCUAUAUUUUGCAUAUGACUGUCACGUAUCUUCAUUUUAUCACAUUUUAUGACUGCACAUGCUAUUCACAGUGAUAACGAUGAACUUUGAACUGGCUUUCUGUUGGAUCAAAUAGUUAUGUGGAAAGACUGAAGGAUUAUAUCUCAACUUACCAAUUUUCCCUCCAAUUUUUGUCCCUAUGAAACUUAAUAUGAAGAAGCAAUAUGAGAUCAACGUAGGUUAGAACACAGAAAGCUCUCAAGACGAAGACUUGGCCAAUGUGACCAACGGCAUUACCAGACAGUAUUAGACAAGGGUAAGUAAAUCUAACCUUGCCUGGUAAGACAUCGGUCAACAGGCAGUGGUUCUGGAUGUAGGACCUGGGAAUGUUUAAUGCAAAAUGUAAAGCAAUUAAUAAGAAUAUACCCACAGAAAAAAAAAAGUUUUUUAUAACCAUGUUACAGAAAAUUCACCAUAAAUAUUUUCCACAUACUAGGUGCAAAACCAUCGACUGCUGCUUUGCAUACAGCUGACUAUAAUGUACCAUUUCUUCUGACGGUGCAGAAUGUAGACAACCCUAAAGGAUAAUGAUUUGCAUGCAUAUUGGACAAAAAAAAAAAAAAAAUCUUGGAUACAUGCACAUCUGUUACCAGUUAAAGAAUUAGAAAACAAUCAAGAGGAAAAUAUGUGUUAGCAUUUUCACUAUAAACCUGCAUUAAUAGCAAAAUUAAGCCCACCCCACUCCUCAUGAUGGACAAGUAUGUUUAGGUUGCAAGGCAGUUCCUUAUAGUAACUGGUGUUCUCUAUUGGUGCUUUAAUAUAGACUGCGAGGCUUGAACUUUUCUUUCAUGGGGUAAUUCAAAUCUUAUUAGACUACACCUAUAACUGUUAAAAACAGGUGCUGGUGGACCUAUACUGGUUAAAGUAGCUCUGUCACUUCUGAGUUACUCUGCCCUUCCUUGGACAAGCACAGGAAAUGAUCCACAUGCCCAGUGCUUUUUCACACCUAAGUUGACUCUCGUGAUCACGUGAAGGCCAACAUAGAGGAUCUGUGAUAAGCUGCUGUCAAAAGUGACGAAACUCUGGAGGGAAUUGAGUAUUGACUUGGCGUCCAAUGACAAAGCUGACAAAGAAAGAACGUGGAGCUUAACUAUAGCGCUACUUUUUUUCAAAGUUGUAUAACCUACAGGUUAUACAUAAGGAAAAGUAGACCCUACAUUUCCUUCUGUAUAUCUUUGCAAGUAAUCAUAAUUUAAAACAAAAAAGGGGCAGCUAAGGAGAGGAUUUUAAGUGUCCACACUGCUCUAGCUUUCACUUGUACAACUAACCAGAGUGGUAGAGUCUCUUCUAUAAAUACCCCUGUUCAACAUUCCCCAUCAUGGUGGGACCCAGUUUUUAUCAUUAUUUCAGUGCUGUUGAUGAGAGAGCUAAAUCAGAAGAGGAAUCAAAUGCUGUGAGGUUGCAGGCUACCAGUUACAGUAUCACUAAAGGCAUGGUCAACACCUCUUGUGAACUCUCGUCAAAGAACUAACCUCGCUAAGAGUGAUGAGAGAGGUACUCUGUAAGGAGCAUGAGAGAAAAGGAAAGGUCUUAAUAUUUCCUUAAAAUAACAGCUUAUCAGGAAAAAAAAGUCAGACAUGAAACAACAUUAAUUGUUACGGCUUCUUUGCACUCUACAAAUCACUAGUUUGUUAAAGUUAAUUAGACACAGAUUCAUGAUCCUAUAAUGUUGUAAGGUGGCAAAAAAAACAAUCCUCUGAGAAAGCCUUCAGAUAAAAGACCAAAUCUAAAACUUUGACGAGAACAGAAAAAUACAGGUAUGAAUUUAGAAAUGUGCAUUUUUAUCUCACCUGUAAAAUAUUACCUCACCACCACUUUAAAAAAAAAGCAGUCACUACUUCCGUCCCAAUACUCACAGUGAAAUAAAUAAUCAACCUUUCUUUAUUGAUCCAACAUUAUUUGACUGUCUGGGAGAGGUUUACUAAAUAUCCCCAGGCCUGUACACUGGAGAUCAUACUUCUUUAUACACCUGGAUGAAAUAUGAGAUAAGGUACCUGCUGGUGACAAUUUAUAGGCCACAGGCAGUAACAGUAGAUGAUAAAGAAUUAGUGCAGGGUGUGGUACAGUACAAUCUCACAUCUGGCGUUAUUAGGGGAUACAUGACAUUCUAACUUUUAUAGACUUAAUUUCCCAUAAUGCUUAGCAAGUCAGGUGGCUUGUUCAGUGUAAUAAAAAACAAAACAAAUGCAGUAGUAAGCCAUCACUGUGAUACUCAUUAGAACAUGCGGUAGGGCAUACCUGACAAGUGUCCCUAUUUUGGAAAGACAGUCUCUAUGUUUCGCCCAAAUCCUUCUGUCCCUCUCUCCUGUACUAAUGUUCCUCUUUACUAUCCAAGCAUCCAAAAUCCAUCCAUUAUUUAAGAAAAACUACUGAUUAUUUACAUUCUUUAACCCCUUACAGCCCUAAUGCUGCACUUUGCUGUCAUCACAAAAAAAUGCUUAAAGGAACACUCUACACCCCAAAAGCACUUCAGCAUGAGCUGGCGCGCGUACACGUAACAGUGCGCGUGCUUGCACAAAUUGGCGUCCAUGUGGACCCCAAUUCAGAGGCUUCUCAAUGAAAGGCUUGCUAAGGCUGCAGUUCAUAAGAUCUGCAGCCUUUGCAAGCUCUUUAAGAAAUGCCCACAAUGACUACAUGCAUGAUAAAUUAAUGCAUAUAAUCAUUAGGGGUAUAUCUACUAAACAAUUAUUUUUAUUUUGGGGGGCCUAUUUGGGCAUUGGAGUGUCCCUUUAAAGAACCAUAUCCCAGCAGAGAAUGUCCAGCAUAAUUCAUUUAGCAGUCCCAUAAAGCUCUGCUUUCUGAAUGGCUUGGAUUAUUCAAAUUUAAAUGGGAGCCAUCGAACCGUUUGGUCCUUAAGGGGUUAAUGGUUAACAUAUCUCUUUUGAUAUGAAAGGUGCACUAUGGAGAAAAUAGAUGGACAAAUGUGGUAAAAGCAACAAAGAAUAAAAUGAUAUAUGUCGAACAUUUUUCACAGUUAAAUGAGUGAAGGGAAAAUCUGGCACAGCUUAAAAGACUUGCAUGGAGCCUGACACUUGCAGGACCAGCCUUCAUUUAAACUGCUUUGUAUGUCUUACUAGCCCCGGACUUGGAUAAAUAAAUAUUUAACAAAAAGCUGUUUUGUUCCCUUAACCAGGUUAAUCAGCUCCUUCCCUUUUAGCAAAUAAAGGAAGGGACUUUUUUUUUUCCCUAGAGACAGGAAACAGGUUGACACAGACCCCACACAUCACGACUUAUGAAGACUAUUUUUAUUUUUUCUUACCUGCACUUUUCAGAUAUCCAUUUAUUAACUUAUUGGACGUACAAAAUAAGCCAAAAUCAGAUAAGUUUGAUUUCCAGGUAUUGCAUUAACUGGGCUCCGAAAAAGAUAAUACUACUUUUUAUAAAAAAAAAUUCUUCCUUAGUUAACUAUCUUCUUUUUUUAAUAUUUAUUCAUAUUUUCUUUAUUAGUGGAAUAUUAUUGAUUAGAGAGAAAAAACAUCAACAUUGUCCUUAAGACACUCAACCCCAAAAAAAGCAAUUUGCAUUAAUCAAUUGCAAUAUAUUAAUAUAUGCUGUUUGAAUAACAUUAUGUUUCAAUAUAUUUUUAAUAAUCAUAUUCUCCAUGUUUUUCUUGGAAACAAAAUUAAUUAUAUUCAUUAUUCCAGUGCUCUUAUGGAGAUACAUGUAACUCUCUUUGAUUUGGAAACAAACUAUGAAAUAUUACUAAGAUUUUAACAAGUAAAAUCAGGAAUGGAAUUGAGGCCAUAUCAUUAUAAAUAACUAUGAGGUUUAAUCACUAGCCAGUAAAGUUUUGAAAAGUUUAGGCAAAAAUAGCAAUGUUAGAUGAGUUAGUGGCGCCAUGAUUUAGCUUGUCCAAUUUUCCAAUUUUAGUGAAAAUACCCCCAAAUUGUACAAUUAAUAUGUUUCCAUUUCACAACGUGAUAUACUUUUCCCAUUUGUGAGAAAAAAAAUCUUUAUUAAGAAAGCAUGGCAAGAAUGGAUAGAAUUUCCUUUUGCCCUGACCUUGCUAAUGUUCCAGGAUGUCUCUUUCUGUUUCAUUGCAAGAGGUGUGUGUAAAACCUGCUUUGCAAACAGGCAGUGAUGACAGAACAAUGGUGCUGUGUUGAUUAACGCAGACAUUAUUUACACAGUAAAACAUUCUGGUCAGAGCUUGAUACAUUUUGCAUUACUUAAAAAACUGUGCUUUACUCCAAAUUAUAUUUUGUUUUUACAAGCUUACAUAGUUCCAAUCUCGCUACUACAAGCUUGUUUGAGCAGGUCACAUCUCACUUCUUGUUGUCAAUUUUAUUGUCUGGUUUCUUUGUAUUUCCACUGUACAGAGCUGCAGAUUAUGGUGGCGUUAUCUAUAACAUGCCUACUAAUAGUCCCAGAUUCUUCAAGACAGUCCUGACUAUGGCCACAUAUCUGAUCAUCCUGGGUUUGUUGUCUGGUGUGCUACUUCUGGGAACAUCAAAGACUAGUCCUCUAUACAUCUCUAAUAAUAUACACCCAUACAGUACUCCAGACCAUCGUAGAUUAUUUAUAUUUCUUUUUAGAUUUAUUGCUGAAUUUUUUCAUGUCCAUAUGUUAGUAUAAAUAUUUAAAUAUUGGUUUUGAUAAUAAUUAACAUUGGGACUAAAGAUUUGGAAAAACUGAUUUGGAAAAACUCUCCAAUUUCAAUCUGGACACAGUGUGUCAAUUUUAGCCAAAUUUGCUAGUUCUGUUUUUAUUUUUUAUUUUAGUUCACCGUUUAGUAAUUAAACUCUCUGAAGUUAAUAUAUAAUAGAGAAAAUCAUUCAUGUGUUUAAAAUUUGCAUAUUUACAAAAUUUUCGAUUUGCAUUUCCUUUUACCACCAUAUAUAUUUAUUUAUUUUUUAAACCUAUCUAUUUAAAGGUUAUGGUGACUGCAUUUUGUAUCAAUUACCGUAUAUACUCGAGUAUUAGUCGAGUUUUUCAGCACAUUUUUUGUGCUAAAAAACCCCCACUCGACUUAUACUCGAGUCACUGUCUGUAUUAUGGCAACUUACAUUGCCAUAAUACAGACCAGGAUCGCUGGCUCAUUACAAGCCCGGUGGUCCUGUUGGGGGCUGGCAGAGAACUGUAACUUACCUUUCCUGCAGCUCCUGUCAGCUCCCUUCUCUCUCCUCCGGUCCGGUCAGCUCCCCGUCAGCUCCACUGUAAAUCUUGCAAGAGCCGCGGGGAAACGCUCCGCACGGCCGCGAGACUUACAGUGGAGGAGAAGGGAGCUGACCGGACCAGAGGAGAGAGACGGGAGCUGACAGGAGAUGCAGGAAAUGUAAGUAACAGCUCUCUGCCAGCCCCCCUCCUGCACAGCCCAUCCACUGGACCACCAGCAGGGAGGGGGGACGAAAAUAAAUAUAAAUAAAAAAUUAAAUAAUAUAAUAAAA